AGUAGCAACAGAGCAACUCUUGGAAAAAGAUGAGGAACCCAAAUCACAGAAAGAUGAAGAUUCAAAUAAGAUUACUGAGGAAGAAGCAACAAAGCAACCACUAGGAAAAAGUAACCAAGGGAGUCCUCAUAAGAUGUCCCCCUCACAGACAGUUGAAGAUUCAACUGAGGAUCCUGAGGAAGAAGCAGAAAAGCAGCCAGCAGAAAAAAAUAACCAAAAAAGUCAUUAUCAGAAAACAAAUAAUGAUAAGAACUUAUCACAGAAAUUUGAAGAUUCCAGUAAGGACCCUGAGG